rnacentral:rRNA from 1 species
UACGUAGGGUGCAAGCGUUGUCCGGAAUUAUUGGGCGUAAAGAGCUCGUAGGCGGUUUGUCGCGUCUGCUGUGAAAACUCAAGGGCUUAACCCUGAGCCUGCAGUGGGUACGGGCAGACUAGAGUGUGGUAGGGGAGAUCGGAAUUCCUGGUGUAGCGGUGGAAUGCGCAGAUAUCGAGGAGGAACACCGGUGGCAAGGGCGGAUUCUCGUGGGCAUUACCUGACGCUGAGGAGCG